rnacentral:rRNA from 1 species
ACGCUCGACACCUACGGGAGCAGCAGUGGGGAAUAUUGCACAAUGGGGGAAACCCUGAUGCAGCGACGCCGCGUGAGCGAAGAAGUAUUUCGGUAUGUAAAGCUCUAUCAGCAGGGAAGAAACUGACGGUACCUGACUAAGAAGCACCGGCUAAAUACGUGCCAGAAGCCGCGGUAAUCUGAGCGGGCUGGCAAGGC